rnacentral:rRNA from 1 species
AAUGAACGCUGGCGGCGUGCCUAACACAUGCAAGUCGAGCGAGAAAGUCCUUCGGGAUGAGUAGAGCGGCGAACGGGUGCAUAACGCGUAGGAAUCUGCCCUUGAGUGAAGAAUACCCUGAAGAAAUUCAGGCUAAUACUGCAUAAGCCCGGAAGGGGAAAGGUGGCCUCAAAGCUACCGCUGAAGGAUGAGCCUGCGUACUAUUAGCUAGUUGGUAGGGUAAAAGCCUACCAAGGCAAAGAUGGUUAGCCGGCCUGAGAGGGUGUACGGCCACAUUGGGACUGAGAUACGGCCCAGACUCCUACGGGAGGCAGCAGUGGGGAAUAUUGCACAAUGGGCGCAAGCCUGAUGCAGCGACGCCGCGUGGAGGAUGAAGGUUUUCGGAUUGUAAACUCCUGUUGAGUGGGAAGAAAGAGGCUUGGCUAAUAUCCAAGCAAGAUGACGGUACCACUAGAGAAAGCACCGGCAAACUUCGUGCCAGCAGCCGCAGUAAUAC